AGAGUUGGGGUGCUCGGCCCCGGCACCCGCGUUCACAGCGUCACCUUCUUGCCUUCUGAGGCGGUCGCCCCGCGCGCCUUCUCAGGGAGCCUCUCGGAAACCAGAGCGCCGCUUCCAGCCGCUCGGGCUCCGCAAGGGCCUAGUGACGGGAGGGGGCUGCUGGGCCUCUCGAUUUACUUACCAGCAACUGUGGAAGAUGAAUGAAUUUAAAUACAAAUACCAGUGUGAACCUGCAUCCCUCUGACGAAAUCGCGACAUCCCAGUUGUAUGCUGUUGUGCCUGAAGGUUUUGGAGCCCAGAUUUGCUGGCCUGGUGGAAAUGUUUCUGGUGGAGGUAUACAGGUGCAAGCUCUGCCAGUUCACAAGUAGCAUCAAAAUGCACAAUGUAUUAAUCAUCUUUUGAAACUGAGUGGAUAAGAAGUCUUCACUAGCUUGCCGUUAUCAGGAUAUGUUUAAAUGUCUGCACGGUGAUUUUACCAGAAGCUUUACUGUAACAUUACGAAGAACUGUUGUCUGCCAAUUUGUUAUGCUUGUGAAGCUGAUAAAAUGGGUCCUGUGACAUCUAAACCCCUUAAGGUCACUGGCAUCAGCUCCAUCAUGACAUCCUAACAUGCACCAUGUUGGUGGUGAUAUAUCAACCACCGAACCAUGCUGAAACAUGGAGCUGGUGUGCACUGAAUGGAGGGUCAGGUGAGAAGCCUUUCAAGUGUGAGAUCUGCUCUUACGCCUCCGUUGAUGCAGGCUCUUUGCAGCGGCCCUUCCAAACAUGCGCUAGUGAGGUGCCAUACAAAUGUUGACUCUGUUCAUAUAGUUGCUUUGCUUGUAGUGUUUUGAUUCCAUCCUCCUGCCCCAGUUGAUUGAGGAAAUGCUCACGUCUCUGACAUAUUUCAUUUUGCCGCAUUGGCAGAGUGCGUCAUGUGAGGAGUGGGAACGUUAACUAUUCCUAGUAAAGCUGAAGUACAUGUUGAAACAUUCAAAAGAAGAGCUUGGACCUUCACAUAUGCUGACUUCACACUGGUGAGGCAUUUGGCUGUAGUUUUUACUGCUGUUCUUCCCCUGACAAACAACUUCUCUGAAAACACAUUAAGAAAUAUCACCUGGGUUCAGGAACCUCAUUAACCAGUUCCCAGCCUAUCUUUACCUUCUAAUCACUUCCUGUGGAACAUUAGGUUCUUCAUGCUUGAACUUCUACCAGAGCAUCCCAGCAAAUAAAGAAGCUGUUGGUAUUGUCAGACUUUUGUGCUGAAAGUCAGGGGUUAUCUGGAAGAAAAAGAAGAAACGGUCCUUAUGUGGCAAUUAAAACCACUUAAAUGGUCCUCCCAAAAAGCUUUGUGCGUGUUAUGGCACAGGUGGUAAAUCCAAUAUGCUGAGAGGAGCGUGAAGAUUUGUGUUGCACAAAGGGUGGACAUGGUGAUUUUUUGUUCUGAUUACCUCUUGCUGAUAUAUUCUGCUUACUUACAAAUGAAGAGUUUGAUGUUUCAAAGCAGAAUCCAUUGAAAUGUACCAAAGCUGACAGUGAACCCCAGAAGUGGUUUCUGUACUAUGUCGCUCAUUUUUAA
rnacentral:lncRNA from 1 species